rnacentral:rRNA from 1 species
GACGAACGCUGGCGGCGUGCUUAACACAUGCAAGUCGAGCGGUAAGGCCCUUUCGGGGGUACACGAGCGGCGAACGGGUGAGUAACACGUGGGUGACCUGCCCUCAGCUCUGGGAUAAGCCUGGGAAACCGGGUCUAAUACCGGAUAUGACUCCAUGACGCAUGUUGUGGGGUGGAAAGCCUUGUGCGGCUGAGGAUGGGCCCGCGGCCUAUCAGCUUGUUGGUGGGGUGAUGGCCUACCAAGGCGACGACGGGUAGCCGGCCUGAGAGGGCGACCGGCCACACUGGGACUGAGACACGGCCCAGACUCCUACGGGAGGCAGCAGUGGGGAAUCUUGCGCAAUGGGCGAAAGCCUGACGCAGCGACGCCGCGUGAGUGAUGAAGGCCUUAGGGUUGUAAAGCUCUUUUACCCGGGAAGAUAAUGACGGUACCGGGAGAAUAAGCCCCGGCUAACUUCGUGCCAGCAGCCGC